rnacentral:rRNA from 1 species
UGAGGAAUAUUGGACAAUGGGUGAAAGCCUGAUCCAGCCAUCCCGCGUGAAGGAUGACGGUCCUAUGGAUUGUAAACCUCUUUUGUAUAGGAAUAAACCUUUCUACGUGUAGAAAGCUGAAGGUACUAUACGAAUAAGCACCGGCUAACUCCGUGCCAGCAGCCGCGGUAAUACGGAGGGUGCAAGCGUUAUCCGGAUUUAUUGGGUUUAAAGGGUCCGUAGGCGGACCGAUAAGUCAGUGGUGAAAUCUCAUAGCUUAACUAUGAAACUGCCAUUGAUACUGUCGGUCUUGAGUAAAUUAGAGGUAGCUGGAAUAAGUAGUGUAGCGGUGAAAUGCAUAGAUAUUACUUAGAACACCAAUUGCGAAGGCAGGUUACCAUGAUUUAACUGACGCUGAGGGACGAAAGCGUGGGGAGCGAACA